UUGAGAUUACACAUCUUAAUUUUUUUGAUUAGAGUAAAAAAAUGUAGGUAUCACUAAGCAGAGUGAAUCCCAACCUAUAAUUCAUAAUUGUAGAAUGAUGAAUGUGAGCCUUGUUCCUAGAUCCCCCAAGUGAGCCAUAAAAACUGUGCUUAGAAAACAAAGUUUGAAUUCUAUGCUAAUAGUUACUACAGGGAAUAGUCCCUUUACUUAAGAAUAGAAGUGACCAGAAUAAGGAUGGAAAGUAGUUUGAUCUAUGUUUCAUUUGUGAUGUAUCGGAGGGUAGUGAGAGGAGCCUGGAUGGGCAGGGUCAGAGUAGAAUAAUAAUGUUAACUACUAUUUUUAGCAUGCCUUUGAUGUGUGAGGCUCUGGGCUUGACCUUUUUCAUCAUUUGGGACGUUUUGGCAACCAGCAGCAGUUAACCCUACAAAAACUGGCUUGUGCAAGAUGGAAAUUUGUUAUCUCCCGCAGCGAGAAGUACAGAAGUAGGGUAGAUUCCCAGGUUGGUUGGCACAGAUUGUCAAAAAUAUUAUCAAGGGUUCAGGUGCUUUCUGUUUCUUGGUCCUGCCUCCCUGAGGGUGUUGGCAGUGGUGACCUCAGAGUGAGAAGAUGGCUUCAUAUCCAGAGACGACAUCCCAAUGAGGUACAACAAACAAACAGCGGGGCUAUUUCAUUCCUUUUCUCUUUCUUAGGAGAAGGACACACUUCCAGAAGUCUCCUGGAAGACUUCACUGGUUGUAUUGGGCUGAAUCUCCACUCUUAAACCAUUGAUAAAAGGAAUGGGAUUACCACACUUGGCUUAAAGAAAUCAGGAUACCCUAUCUCCUGGAGCUCAGAAGGUUGACGAGGAAUUGCCAAUGCUCUUCAUGGUGGGUGAGCCAAGUCACAUGCCUCAGAAAGCAUACAGGAGUUUCUGACUCUCACAGCCUCACCAACCCCUGGGAGAUGAGUCUCUACGAGUCACAUGAGUUUACAAAGUGAGCUCAUUGUUUUAAUCUGCAUUUCUGAUUACUAAAGGUGAAGACACCUUGAUAUGCGUUUUCAAAAUGGUCCUUCAUAUCCAUUUCCCUCCAAGAAGUUCAGGACCACUUUGUUGAAAGUUCUGUGAAAACACUGUUGCAUCUAUGGUUUUGUUUCUUCACCAUUCCUAAUUCGUACCAUUUGAAUAGUUUCCUUAAAUAAUUUUGCCAGAAGUUUGUCCUUUUUUUAGUCUUCUCAAAAAUUUGUUUUUGGUUUUGUUGAAUCUUUCUAAUUUGUAUUAUAAUUUCUUUUUUGAACCAGGAAGUAUUCAGAAUUGGUUUUUUAAUUCUCAUUUUUAUCGCAUUUUGGUCAGAAAACAUGUUCUGUAAGACGUAGAUUUUUUUUUUUUUGAGACUUGUUUAGUGGCUCAUUCUACUGUCAAUUUUUGUAAAUGUGCCAUGCGUGCUUGGAAAGAAUAUGGUUUCUUUGUUGUCUUCAGAGUUCUAUAAAUGACCAUUUAAUCAGUUACUGAGAAAUCUAAAAUCCCCUACUAAAAUUGUGAAUUUCUAGGUUCUUUCCAGUAAAUCCAUUUUGUUUGUUUGUUUGUGUGUUUGUUUUGAAACUAUGUUCCUAGGGGCAUAAAGGUUCAAAAUUGUUAUAUUUUUUCUGGAAAGGAUUGUUCCUUUCAUUAUUAGACAACAAGACUCUGUGUCCCUAAUUCUCUCUCCCUCCCUCUUAAAGUUGAAUUUACUGAUGAUUAUAUGUUUAUAUGAGGCUUUGCUGCUGUUAUUGUUAGUAUUUUUCAGAUAUUUCCUCCCCCUCAAUUCUUCUACUUUCAAUUUGUCUGUGUCACUAUGCUUUAGGUGAGUCUCUCGUUAACAACAUAUAACUAGAAAUUCAAUAUACAAUCUGUAAGUCUCUGUAUUUUAUUUGGGAAGCCUAGUUUCUUUACAUUUUUUAUGAUUACCAUUAUACUGUAUUUCAUCAAAUCUAAGUUGCCAUUUAUUAUAAGGUGCGACACCAUUUUAGUUAUCAUUAAGAAACAGAAAAAAUAUUGCAAUUAAACAGUGACACAAUGCUUAUU